UACGUAGGGGGCGAGCGUUGUCCGGAGUACUGGGCGUAAAGCGUGCGCAGGCGGCGCGUUAAGACAGGUGUGAAAGCCCCGAGCUUAACUUGGGAAUUGCGCUUGUGACUGGCGUGCUGGAGUGUGGCAGAGGGAGGUGGAAUUCCACGUGUAGCAGUGAAAUGCGUAGAGAUGUGGAGGAACACCGAUGGCGAAGGCAGCCUCCUGGGCCAGCACUGACGCUCAUGCACGAAAGCGUGGGGAGCAAACAGG
rnacentral:rRNA from 1 species